AUGAUUGUUACCACAUUCACAGCCCUCUUCUUGAGAUAUUGGCUGUCAGCAGAUCUUGCGCCACAUUCGGUUCAUCACCUCUGAUGGAUGCCCUUAUUACACCGUAGCCGCAGAUUCAGGGGUCGGGUUCCAGUUGUGAUUGUACAUCGCGUAAGUUCCCGCGAACGAGAGUCUGCUUCGCCCGGGUUCUCCAUCGUGCUGUCACAUGUCUCCUGAGUGUUGAGAGCUCUAAACUUGCAGCUACAACGCGAACAGCAUCGGCUCAGUAUUCUCCAAAUUCCUUGACCAUACAUGCCAGCUGACUCUUUACAACUGUCUGCAUCUGUUUCUAAUGGUCUGUCUCAUGAGUCAUACUCCACCUCCCUCUGGCUCCCCGUGGCCUCCCUUCCACUCCAUUUACCAUCCAUAUCUACCUAUUCUGUGAUACUCCGCUCUGCUCUCUCUCGAGCAACGUCUUAUUUUGCUUUUUCGUUUUGAUCCGCCUCGGUCAAUGCAGCACUUUUCCGCUACAUUACUGCCAGAUGGGGCAACAGUGCAAGUUAGAAACUUUUCGGCUGUUGUGAUGGGACUAUAUAUAAGGUAAAUCGAUCUGGAAGGAGGUCUACAAAAACUAAGAGGUUGGGUGGAGAAAUAAGUUACGGAUGUAACUCUGGUUCUCUGAAAUGGGUUCCUGUUAGUCAAGAAUGUACAGUUUACACUUCUACGUCAACGUCAGCCCAGAGCCUACCCUAACGCCGUAGCCUGACGUCCACCUCAACAGAAAAGUAACUACCCCAAGAGCUAUGAUUGAUCCACUUCGCGGGAGCAUAUUUACUAUUUCCGCUACUUCUCUAGCGCCGCAAUUUUCAAUUGUUUUGGACCAAUAAAGAUGGAACACAUGGUGGAAAAGUUAAUUGAGGUGGUUUGGAGAUACAAACAUUUGUAUGACUCAUCGUUACAGAAUUACAAAAUUAGGGAAAAUGUUUUAGUUGUCAUUGUCGAAAGUGAAGCAGAAAAUGGAAACAAAAAUUAAUCCGACUGGCAAAAAAGACAAUAACACAUAGAGCGAGCCAG